rnacentral:tRNA from 1 species
UGGGCUGUAGCCAAGCGGUAAGGCAACGGGUUUUGGUCUCGUCACGCCCAGGUUCGAAUCCUGGCAGCCCAG